rnacentral:rRNA from 1 species
AGGCGGGGCUAACAUGCAAGUCGAACGAUGAAGCCCUUCGGGGUGGAUUAGUGGCGAACGGGUGAGUAACACGUGGGCAAUCUGCCCUUCACUCUGGGACAAGCCCUGGAAACGGGGUCUAAUACCGGAUAACACUCCUGCCUGCAUGGGUGGGGGUUAAAAGCUCCGGCGGUGAAGGAUGAGCCCGCGGCCUAUCAGCUUGUUGGUGGGGUAAUGGCCUACCAAGGCGACGACGGGUAGCCGGCCUGAGAGGGCGACCGGCCACACUGGGACUGAGACACGGCCCAGACUCCUACGGGAGGCAGCAGUGGGGAAUAUUGCACAAUGGGCGAAAGCCUGAUGCAGCGACGCCGCGUGAGGGAUGACGGCCUUCGGGUUGUAAACCUCUUUCAGCAGGGAAGAAGCGAAAGUGACGGUACCUGCAGAAGAAGCGCCGGCUAACUACGUGCCAGCAGCCGCGGUAAUACGUAGGGCGCAAGCGUUGUCCGGAAUUAUUGGGCGUAAAGAGCUCGUAGGCGGCUUGUCGCGUCGGAUGUGAAAGCCCGGGGCUUAACCCCGGGUCUGCAUUCUAUACGGGCAGGCUAGAGUGUGGUAGGGGA